GGCUCCAUCGUCCAGCGGUUAGGACGCGGCCCUUUCAAGGCCGAGACGGGGGUUCGAUUCCCCCUGGAGCUACCA
rnacentral:tRNA from 1 species